rnacentral:tRNA from 1 species
AUGGAAAAUUGCAUUUUUGGAAUUUGCAAUAAUGCGACGGGCGAACGACGGGAAUUGAACCCGCGCAUGGUGGAUUCACAAUCCACUGCCUUGAUCCAUUUGGCUACAUCCGCCCCUUAUCCAGCUAAAGGAUUUUUUCUUUUUUCCAUUGAUAAUUAUUCUAUUUAUUCUGACCUCCGUACUUCGAUCGAGAUAUUGGACAUAGAAUGCCACUCUUUAAAAAGGAAAAAAAAGGAGUAA